GAGUGAAAAAGAGGACACUAAGCCAAUAAAUCUUUGGUUCAAAACAAGACACUAAGCCAAUGGCUAUGAUGCUUGAACCAUGAAGGAACAGUUUAGAUUUCCAUCAAGGCUUUGUAUCAUCACUGGGCCGGCCUGGCCCAAGGCGACCAAGGCGAUCGCCUUGGGCCCCAGCUUUUAGAGGGCGUCAAAUUUUGAGGCCCAUAGGGGAUGAUAAAAAAAAUAAAUAAAUAAAAUAAAGAAAUAAAGUUAGGGCAAGUCUUGGUCGGCUUGGGCCUCAAAUUUUAGAGGACCACAAAAUAUAAGUUAGGGCAAAUUUUUCAGACGAUACAAUCUGCUUCGACACUCCACCUCCGCUAUCGCCUCACGCUCAGGUGACACCGUGACAAGAAACUGGACUUCCUUUGAAUAUCCCAUACACUGGAAAAUGGAGAAUCUGUAUUGAAUUCCAGCAAAUGAAACUGAAAACUGUACUGCUUCAGUUUGGAUUAACACCUACUUCAAAAUGAAUUCUAAUGCCUUGAACCUGAGGUACAACUAUACAGCCUGUCAAAUGACUGCCUCGUGCUUCCUAGUUAUUCGUGUUGUGUCAAUUUACUCUUAAAUCAUAUCAUGUAUAUCGAAAAUUUUAGUGUAGAUACGGGGCUUACAAUGAAGUGCUUUUUUAAUUUUUGAGUAAUUAAUCAGUAUUUGGAAUCCCAACAAAUCUAGAAAAAGAAAAAGAAAAAGAAAA